GUGCCCAGCCUCAGCUGGUGGUCAUAAACCUCACAUGGGGAGCUUUUACAAACCACAAGGCCAGGACCCAGCCUUGGACCCACAUCAUCAGGAUCUGGAGGUUGUGGUCUCUCAGAACUGCUGAGGUCUCCAGGUGAUUCGAGUGGGCCUCUACGGGUGGAAAACAGCCCUGUUUCAAUCAAAGAGCCAGCUACAUCUCUGUGAGGGCUGGGCUCCUUUGAUUAGGGCAGUGAGGAAAUACCUGGUUUAGGGGCAGGGAAGCUGCAUGAGGGUGCUGCGUGCAGAGGGAGAGACAAGACUGGGGAGUGGGAGAGCUUUCGAGAAAAGGAGCCGCCGUCACAGAUCAGGAAACUUCCCUGAGAAACAUCCAGUGUCCAAAGUCACCAGUGGCCUCAAUCAUGAUCUGUUGAGUAGUGUAAAGACUGAAAACCUCAGCUGUCCCAAGUUGGGUGUAUUUCCAGCCCAGCUCUGACUCUGCAGUGCGGUGAGGGAGAGACUGAAGACCCCAGACCCGCGAUCCCCACCCUCCUGGCUCUUGCCAUCACCAUCCACACUGAGACGCCGCUCAGCGUCCUUGGUUCUCGCGGAUAUGACAGCCUAAGGGAUGCUUCUGCAGUAACUAAAGAUGAGAAAUCACUGGGGAAAGUAAAAAAGAAGACAGUGUCAACAUGAGCACAAAGAAGUGAGAGAUUUGCAAAUAAACUUCACAUUAUUAAAAUGUCA